AGUGAACGCUGGCGGUAGGCCUAACACAUGCAAGUCGAACGGCAGCACAGGAGAGCUUGCUCUCUAGGUGGCGAGUGGCGGACGGGUGAGGAAUACAUCGGAAUCUGCCCAGUCGUGGGGGAUAACGUAGGGAAACUUACGCUAAUACCGCAUACGACCUUCGGGUGAAAGAGGGGGAUCGCAAGAUCUCUCGCGAUUGGAUGAGCCGAUGUCGGAUUAGCUAGUUAGCGGGGUAAUGGCCCACCAAGGCGACGAUCCGUAGCUGGUCUGAGAGGAUGAUCAGCCACACUGGAACUGAGACACGGUCCAGACUCCUACGGGAGGCAGCAGUGGGGAAUAUUGGACAAUGGGCGCAAGCCUGAUCCAGCCAUACCGCGUGGGUGAAGAAGGCCUUCGGGUUGUAAAGCCCUUUUGUUGGGAAAGAAAUCUUUCAGGCUAAUACCCUGGGAGGAUGACGGUACCCAAAGAAUAAGCACCGGCUAACUUCGUG
rnacentral:rRNA from 1 species